AUUGAACGCUGGCGGCAGGCCUAAUACAUGCAAGUCGAACGAGUGGCGGACGGGUGAGUAAUGUCUGGGACACUGCUUGAUGGAGGGGGAUAACUACUGGAAACGGUAGCUAUUACCGCAUACCAUCAGAUGUGCCCAGAUGGGAUUAGCUAGUAGGUGGGGUAACGGCUCACCACGGCGACGAUCCCUAGCUGGUCUGAGAGGGUGACCCGCCACACUGGAACUGAGACACGGUCCAGACUCCUACGGGAGGCAGCAGUAGGGAAUAUUGCGCAAUGGGCGAAAGCCUGAUGGAGCCAUGCCGCGUGAGUGAUGAAGGCCUUCGGAUUGUAAAGCACUUUCAUCGGGGAAGCGGUACCCGAAGAGAAAGCACCGGCUAACUCCGUGCCAGCAGCCGCGGUAAUAC
rnacentral:rRNA from 1 species